ACUUAAAUUGAAGAGUUUGAUCAUGGCUCAGAUUGAACGCUGGCGGCAGGCCUAACACAUGCAAGUCGAACGGUAGCACAGAGAGCUUGCUCUCGGGUGACGAGUGGCGGACGGGUGAGUAAUGUCUGGGAAACUGCCCGAUGGAGGGGGAUAACUACUGGAAACGGUAGCUAAUACCGCAUAACGUCGCAAGACCAAAGAGGGGGACCUUCGGGCCUCUUGCCAUCAGAUGUGCCCAGAUGGGAUUAGCUUGUUGGUGAGGUAACGGCUCACCAAGGCGACGAUCCCUAGCUGGUCUGAGAGGAUGACCAGCCACACUGGAACUGAGACACGGUCCAGACUCCUACGGGAGGCAGCAGUGGGGAAUAUUGCACAAUGGGCGCAAGCCUGAUGCAGCCAUGCCGCGUGUAUGAAGAAGGCCUUCGGGUUGUAAAGUACUUUCAGCGAGGAGGAAGGCGUUGUGGUUAAUAACCACAGCGAUUGACGUUACUCGCAGAAGAAGCACCGGCUAACUCCGUGCCAGCAGCCGCGGUAAUACGGAGGGUGCAAGCGUUAAUCGGAAUUACUGGGCGUAAAGCGCACGCAGGCGGUUUGUUAAGUCAGAUGUGAAAUCCCCGGGCUCAACCUGGGAACUGCAUUUGAAACUGGCAAGCUUGAGUCUCGUAGAGGGGGGUAGAAUUCC
rnacentral:rRNA from 1 species